AGCAGAGCAGAGUAGAGCAGGUUAUUGAGAGUUUCAGAGGUGCGUUUCGCUUCUCUUCAAUCUUAGCAGUUCUCUAUCGCUUACUUUCUCUCUCGUCGUUUCCGCAUUUUCUCUCUGGAAGGCUGAGACCUUUGUUGUUCAAUCUCUGUUCUCAAUUCUCGGUUUCUCAGGAGAAGGGAGGACGAUAGGAGGAAAAAAGUGCAGGAUUUGGUGCACUGAAGCGGUCAGUUCUGUAGGUUUCUAUUGCAGCAGAGACUGAGUUGAACCUCUGUGGAAAAAGGGGAAAGAGAGAAGAGGAAGGCAAAGCAAAAAAGGGAAAAGGCCAGCGAAAAAAGAUUGGAUGAAAAGAGCAAAAGAUCAGACAAAGAAAAGAAACAACGGAAAAGGCACCAAAGUGCUGUGGAUGAUCCAAGUUGGGACAGAAAAGGGAAACAUAAGUCUAAGAAUUCCAGUAAAAGUAGCAGUGACUUCAAAAGGUCAAGACAGAUGGAGGAAAUGUAACUUUUGGGCUCUCCUGUCGUGAAUCAAUAAUGAAAGGAAGCACAAGAAACACAAGAGAGAGCUUCAGAGUGGUUCUUGGAGAAAUAGUGACAAUUAAGAGCUUCAGAUUGAGAACUUGCUUUUUGAUUGUCCAGCAUGGUGUAUUUCUCGUAUCACUUUUUACCUGGAGAAAUAGCAUGAUAGCCCCCACAAUCACAGGCUGAAAGUGUCCCAUAGCAGACAAGGGUAUUUUCAUGGUGAAGAGGCAUAUUGUCAAAAAGCAAGAGACUGCUUAUUGUUGGCAAGAGAAAAUGAAUACAGUCCGUCGUUCUGAUUGUUAGAAUUUGAAGGCCUGGCUGGCUGUGUCUAAAAUUUACCAAGCCAUGAAGAUUGGAAGAAGUCAAUGGAGGUUUGAUGGGGAGGCUGGCUUUUAAAACACCGUCUUCAAGUUCGACUGCGUCAAAUGCUAGAGAGGGGAAAAUUGAUCUGCUACAAGAAAAAGUUGAUAAUGUCUGUGACAAUAUGAUCCAUGAUAGCAUCAGCUAUCUCUAUCCCAAUCUCUAUGGUCAGUGGCUGGGAAUCACUCCAUUCUUGUUUUGUGGUAGAAGAGUCUGAAUUUAUCAGUUUGGUUAUGCUUGUAACAUGUCCACAUUGCUUCCCCCAGUAGCAGAUAUGCUCACAAAUAUUUUUAGAAGGCUCUUCGUCCCCUGGGAAUUCUUCGUUCUUCUGCACAUUACUCUUCUUUCCAUGGAUUUCUAUGGCUUCCUUUUCACAGUCGAAUGAAACCUGCUUGGUGUGCUGCAUGAUUCUUUUAGUUUUUAGGCACUGAGAAGAACCUGCAAACCCAAAUAUCUCCUCUAGUUUUGCAAUGCCAGGAUGACUCUGGAUUAGUAAUUCCCAUGGAAAAGCUGAGGCUGUGGAGUUUUCUGUGGUUCUUUUCUGCAAAUUAAAGCUGGAAGUUGAAAGGAUUUCUUCUUGUCUUGCAAUGAAGAAGUGUUGGGCUGUUUCAUCAAAAAAGGGGAUUGUCACUGAGAUAUUCUUGGAAAUCAAGAAAUGCACAUUUAUUCAAUUUUAUAAACUCCAGAACCUUGGUUUGAUGGUAAUGUUUCUAGCACCGAUACUGGGCUGAGUUGCCUGUCAUCCAUGAAUGACCACUGAAGGUUUGUAUCUGUAGCAGCCUGUUCUCUUCAUGAAUAACUGAGCUUAAUAUAUGGAUGAGAAAAGAAAAUUGAAAUGCAAAGAAAAUGAGAAGAAAAUAAAAGGGUGAAUUUUGUUUUUAUCCACUAGAAUGAAAUUUGGAACCUGUGCCUUUGUCAUCUUCGUAUGUAGUGCAUUAUCAGAGGGAAAAUGAUGGAAGUUCUCUUACCUCUGGUCCUCCCAUAUCAAAAGGUUCAAAGGUCUGGAAAGUACUUGUCGAAGAACUUGAGCCACGAUUUUCUUUGAAAAACAGGUGAUUGUGCAUGAUAUUGAUCUUGGGAGAGGAGUUGUCUGGAGUCAUAUCUUUCCGGAUCUCAGAAACAUUAUAAGUUGAAAUUUUCCAGCAUUCAUUGUUGGAAACAAGCUUGGUAAGAACUGAUCUCAGGACUCUUGAACCAUUUGCUAUCCUUUCUCUUUUAGUGCUCAAUUCAGAACCAAAUGUCGAUCUCUUCAAGUUCUUAGCUGAAUUAUUGGGGCUGCAACCAUUUCUCGUAUCCGAAUUCAAGCUGCUCCUUGUGUACCUUCUCUCUGAAAGGUAAGUUGUCAGCAUAAAAGGCUCUUGUUGUUCUUGGAGAAGUUCUUUUAGCUGCUUUGCUGGUCUAGAUGAUGAAGCCAUUAGGUCUGCAAAAGUUUAGGGGUUUAGAGUGGAAGAGAAUGAAAAUGUAAGGUGCAAGUUAAGCACUAGGCUGAAGUGGAGAUGAGGUGCCGGAGCAAUAAUUGUAACUGUAUCGAGCAUGUCUGUCAGAUUGAGCUGAGAGGGAGGAGAAGCCAAUAGAGAAGACUGAAGAAUUAAGAGAAAGUGAGAGAGAGAGGCCAAAAUUUUCAUUUAUUGCAAGAUUGCCUGGAUCCUGAUGUGCACAAAAAAAAUAUUCAUUAGAAUAUUGCAUAGAUUCUAAUGUGCCUAAAACAGCCUUAUCAUUAGUAACCAGAUUACAUCCUGAAAGAAGUGGUCCCAAGCCCUCCAGUUUUGUCUUGUAUUGAAGAGUAACUUCAGUUGUCUUCUAUUGAGUGGAGGCAAAUUGAAUGUCAUGUAUCUGCAUGGAUGUUGGCUUUAUUGUACCCUUGUGAAUUCUUCUAUAUGUAUAUGAUUUUUUUUUUUUUUUUGAGAAGUAUGCAUGUGAUCAAAUAUUUUAUUUCCAAACUACAAGCAUCUAUAUGGGUAUGUAUUAUUUGACCCUAAA